CAGUAGCCACGGGAACACGUAGGGUGCAAGCGUUAAUCGGAAUUACUGGGCGUAAAGCGUGCGCAGGCGGUUAUAUAAGACAGAUGUGAAAUCCCCGGGCUCAACCUGGGAACUGCAUUUGUGACUGUAUAGCUAGAGUACGGCAGAGGGGGAUGGAAUUCCGCGUGUAGCAGUGAAAUGCGUAGAUAUGCGGAGGAACACCGAUGGCGAAGGCAAUCCCCUGGGCCUGUACUGACGCUCAUGCACGAAAGCGUGGGGAGCAAACAGGAUUAGAUACCCCCGUAGUCCCUGUCUCUUAUAC
rnacentral:rRNA from 1 species